UUGACCUCGGAUCAGGUAGGGAUACCCGCUGAACUUAAGCAUAUCAAUAAGCGGAGGAAAAGAAACCAACAGGGAUUGCCUCAGUAACGGCGAGUGAAGCGCMAACAGCUCAAAUAAA
rnacentral:rRNA from 1 species